UUCCUUCUCCUGCCCUGUCCAGUUAAUUACUGCAGUGUGGUUUGUGUGGAUUUUUAUUUACACUUUGUACAUACUUUGUUUUCGGACUGAAUUUCCUCCAAUUUAAAGACUGUUUUGGGGAGAGUAUUUUCUCCGGCCAAAGGUAACCUGGACAUUGGGGGCAAAGUGGGAGUUAUUAAAGAGACUCUUCUUACUUAUGUGACGGUGUUGCCUUUGCGCCACGCCCCGGAUCAUCACAAAGACUGGUACAAUCAG